rnacentral:misc_RNA from 1 species
UCCCACAAAAACUCUGUUUCAACAGGAUGCUUAAAUUGGUCAUUUUACAAGAGUGUUGUAAAUUAGAAAUACCGAUUUGCAGAUUAUAAUAUAUAUAAAUGGCUUUGUUCUAUUAGUAACAAUAAUAAAAUGUGGGAAAAGUUUAUAACAUAUUACUACUUGAAGACAUUAGGAUCUAAUAUUGGGAUUGCUUUGUUAAUAAGAUAAGCUUUGUUAUGACAAUUUUUGUAAGAUCAAUAAUAUCUUGAGAAU